rnacentral:rRNA from 1 species
AGUGAACGCUGGCGGUAGGCCUAACACAUGCAAGUCGAACGGCAGCACAGUAAGAGCUUGCUCUUACGGGUGGCGAGUGGCGGACGGGUGAGGAAUACAUCGGAAUCUACUUUUUCGUGGGGGAUAACGUAGGGAAACUUACGCUAAUACCGCAUACGACCUACGGGUGAAAGCAGGGGAUCUUCGGACCUUGCGCGAUUGAAUGAGCCGAUGUCGGAUUAGCUAGUUGGCGGGGUAAAGGCCCACCAAGGCGACGAUCCGUAGCUGGUCUGAGAGGAUGAUCAGCCACACGGGAACUGAGACACGGUCCAGAAUCAUAAGGGAGGAAGCAGUGGGGAAUAUUGGACAAUGGGCGCAAGCCUGAUCCAGCCAUACCGCGUGGGUGAAGAAGGACUUCGGGUUGUAAAGCCCUUUUGUUGGGAAAGAAAAGCAGCAGGUUAAUACCCCGCUGUUCUGACGGUACCCAAAGAAUAAGCACCGGCUAACUUCGUG